GGACCAGUAUGUUGGUCGUGCUUCGGUACGUACUGUCAUUACUGGUUUCUCCCUUCUGAAGAACCUUGAUGUCAUUAAUUUGGUGUCUUGGGGAAUCAGGACUGUUACUUUGAAAAAAUUAGAGUGUUUAAAGCAGGCAUACGCUUGAAUACAUUAGCAUGGAAUAAUGAAAUAGGACGUUUGAUUCUAUUUUGUUGGUUUCUAGGAUCGACGUAAUGAUUAAUAGGGAUAGUUG
rnacentral:rRNA from 1 species